UACGAAGGGGGCUAGCGUUGCUCGGAAUUACUGGGCGUAAAGGGCGCGUAGGCGGGUCGUUAAGUUAGAGGUGAAAGCCCAGGGCUCAACCCUGGAAUUGCCUUUAAUACUGUCGACCUUGAGUAUGGCAGAGGUGUGUGGAACUCCGAGUGUAGAGGUGAAAUUCGUAGAUAUUCGGAAGAACACCAGUGGCGAAGGCGACACACUGGGCCAUUACUGACGCUGAGGCGCGAAAAGCGUGGGGGAGCAAACAGGG
rnacentral:rRNA from 1 species